UCUUAUGUACAUGCCUACAAUGUCAAUGCAAUGUAUCCCGUCAAAAAUUUGUAGUUAAUCAUGCUUGGUCUACAGUAGUACUAGGAUGGGUGACCUCCUAAGAAGUCCUUGUGUUUUACAUGCC
rfam:Picea glauca, whole genome shotgun sequence.